CCUACGGGUGGCAGCAGUGGGGAAUAUUGGACAAUGGGCGAAAGCCUGAUCCAGCCAUGCCGCGUGUGUGAAGAAGGCCUUCGGGUUGUAAAGCACUUUCAGUGGGGAAGAAAGCCUUGGGGCUAAUACCCUCUAGGAAGGACAUCACCCACAGAAGAAGCACCGGCUAACUCCGUGCCAGCAGCCGCGGUAAUACGGAGGGUGCGAGCGUUAAUCGGAAUUACUGGGCGUAAAGCGCGCGUAGGCGGUCUGAUAAGCCGGUUGUGAAAGCCCCGGGCUCAACCUGGGAACGGCAUCCGGAACUGUCAGGCUAGAGUGCAGGAGAGGAAGGUAGAAUUCCCGGUGUAGCAGUGAAAUGCGUAGAGAUCGGGAGGAACACCAGUGGCGAAGGCGGCCUUCUGGACUGACACUGACGCUGAGGUGCGAAAGCGUGGGUAGCAAACAGGAUUAGAUACCCGAGUAGUC
rnacentral:rRNA from 1 species